rnacentral:tRNA from 1 species
AGUAAAGUGACUGAAAUAUAGGUAAUAGACUGUAAAUCUAUUUAUGGAAUUUAAUUUUCCUUUACUA